GACGAACGCUGGCGGCGUGCCUAAUACAUGCAAGUUGAGCGCUGAAGGUUGGUACUUGUACCGACUGGAUGAGCAGCGAACGGGUGAGUAACGCGUGGGGAAUCUGCCUUUGAGCGGGGGACAACAUUUGGAAACGAAUGCUAAUACCGCAUAAAAACUUUAAACACAAGUUUUAAGUUUGAAAGAUGCAAUUGCAUCACUCAAAGAUGAUCCCGCGUUGUAUUAGCUAGUUGGCGAGGUAAAGGCUCACCAAGGCGAUGAUACAUAGCCGACCUGAGAGGGUGAUCGGCCACAUUUGGACUGAGACACGGCCCAAACUCCUACGGGAGGCAGCAGUAGGGAAUCUUCGGCAAUGGACGAAAGUCUGACCGAGCAACGCCGCGUGAGGGAAGAAGGGUUUCGGAUCGUAAAACUCUGUUGGUAGAGAAGAACGUUGGUGGGAGUGGAAAGCUCAUCAAGUGACGGUAACUACCCAGAAAGGGACGGCUAACUACGUG
rnacentral:rRNA from 1 species